rnacentral:rRNA from 1 species
CCUACGGGCGGCAGCAGUAGGGAAUAUUGCUCAAUGGGGGAAACUCUGACGCAGCAACGCCGCGUGGGGGAUGAAGGUUUUCGGAUUGUAAAAUUCUUUAAUUGGAGAAGAUAAUGACGGUAUCUCACGAAUAAGCACCGGCUAACUCCGUGCCAGCAGCAGCGGUAAUACGGAGGGUGCAAGCGUUACUCGGAAUCACUAGGCGUAAAGAGCGCGUAGGCGGGAUAGCAAGUCAGAUGUGAAAUACUAUGGCUUAACCAUAGAACUGCAUUUAAAACUGUUAUUCUAGAGUAUGGGAGAGGUAGGUGGAAUUCUUGGUGUAGGGGUAGAAUGCGUAGAGAUUAAGAGGAAUACUCAUUGCGAAGGCGACCUGCUAGAACAUAACUGACGCUGAUGCGCGAAAGCGUGGGGAGCAAACAGGAUUAGAUACCCCUGUAGUC